rnacentral:rRNA from 1 species
AUACGUAGGUGGCAAGCGUUGUCCGGAUUUACUGGGUGUAAAGGGCGUGUAGGCGGAGAUGCAAGUCAGGAGUGAAAUCUAGGGGCUCAACCCCUAAACUGCUUUUGAAACUGUAUCCCUUGAGUAUCGGAGAGGCAGGCGGGAUUCCUAGGGUAGCGGGGAAAUGCGUAGAUAUUAGGAGGAACACCAGUGGCGAAGGCGGCCUGCUGGACGACAACUGACGCUGAGGCGCGAAAGCGUGGGGAGCAAACAGGGUUAGAUACCCUGGUAGUCCACGCUGUAAACGAUGAAUACUAGGUGUGGGGGGACUGACCCCCUCCGUGCCGCAGUCAACACAAUAAGUAUUCCACCUGGGGAGUACGAUCGCAAGAUUGAAACUCAAAUGAAUUGACGGGG